rnacentral:tRNA from 1 species
GCUGUGGCUCAGUGGCAGAGCAUCUGGUUGGCGAACAGAAGAUCCCAAGUUCGAUCUCCAGCAUCUCCA